GUGGGGAAUCUUCCGCAAUGGACGAAAGUCUGACGGAGCAACGCCGCGUGAGUGAUGAAGGUCUUCGGAUUGUAAAGCUCUGUUAAUCGGGACGAAAGAGCCUAGUGUGAAUAAUGCUAGGAAGUGACGGUACCGGAAUAGAAAGCCACGGCUAACUACGUGCCAGCAGCCGCGGUAAUACGUAGGUGGCAAGCGUUGUCCGGAAUUAUUGGGCGUAAAGCGCGCGCAGGCGGAUCUGCCAGUCUGUCUUAAAAGUUCGGGGCUUAACCCCGUGAUGGGAUGGAAACUACAGAGCUAGAGUAUCGGAGAGGAAAGUGGAAUUCCUAGUGUAGCGGUGAAAUGCGUAGAUAUUAGGAAGAACACCAGUGGCGAAGGCGACUUUCUGGACGAAAACUGACGCUGAGGCGCGAAAGCCAGGGGAGCGAACGGGAUUAGAUACCCGUGUAGUCC
rnacentral:rRNA from 1 species